UUGGCCCUGAAUCAAGGCCAGCAGUCUGGUGAAGCUGUUGGUUUCAAGCAGGAGCCUAGAGAAGUGUCUUUCUGUGGCCUGAUGGCCAUUUCAGAACUUCGGAAAUGUAAUGGUCAAUUCAUUGCAAAGAAACAUCU
ensembl:snoRNA